rnacentral:rRNA from 1 species
UACGUAGGGUGCAAGCGUUGUCCGGAAUUAUUGGGCGUAAAGAGCUCGUAGGCGGUGUGUCGCGUCGGCCGUGAAAACCUGGGGCUCAACUCUGGGCGUGCGGUCGAUACGGGCAUCACUUGAGUUCGGCAGGGGAGACUGGAAUUCCUGGUGUAGCGGUGAAAUGCGCAGAUAUCAGGAGGAACACCGGUGGCGAAGGCGGGUCUCUGGGCCGAUACUGACGCUGAGGAGCGAAAGCAUGGGUAGCGAACAGG